UGCAGGAUCUGUAUACACUGGGGUUGAUUUCUGCAAAAAAUUAUGUGGGUCUUCUAUUGUUCGAAGUGGUGAGAGCAUGGAAAGUGCAUUGCGUGCACGUUGCAAAGGAAUCAAAAUUGGAAAAAUUCUAAUCCAUCGUGAUGGAGACAAUGGAAAAAAGCUUAUAUAUGAGAAACUUCCCAAGGAUAUUUCAGAACGUCAUGUCCUGCUUCGAGAUCCUUUUCUU